CACGUAGGGAACUUGCCCAUAAGUCGAGGAAAACUGUUGGAAACGACAGCUAAUACUGGAUAGUAUAAUGAAACGCAUGUUUUAUUAUUUAAAGGCGCGUUUGCGUCGCUUAUGGAUAGUCCUGCGGUACAUUAGCUAGUUGGUAGGGUAAUGGCCUACCAAGGCUACGAUGUAUAACCGGCCUGAGAGGGUGAACGGUCACACUGGAACUGAGACACGGUCCAGACUUCUACGGAAGGCAGCAGUAGGGAAUCUUCCACAAUGGGCGAAAGCCUGAUGGAGCAAUACCGCGUGAGUGAUGAAGGUUUUCGGAUCGUAAAGCUCUGUUGUAAGAAAGAAAUGUUUUAGGAGGAAAUGCCUUUAAUUUGACGGUAUCUUACCAGAAAGUCACGGGCUAACUAUGUG
rnacentral:rRNA from 1 species